rnacentral:rRNA from 1 species
GACGAACGCUGGCGGCGUGCCUAAUACAUGCCAGUCGAACGCUUCUUUCCUCCCGAGUGCUUGCACUCAAUUGGAAAGAGGAGUGGCGGACGGGUGAGUAACACGUGGGUAACCUACCCAUCAGAGGGGGAUAACACUUGGAAACAGGUGCUAAUACCGCAUAACAGUUUAUGCCGCAUGGCAUAAGAGUGAAAGGCGCUUUCGGGUGUCGCUGAUGGAUGGACCCGCGGUGCAUUAGCUAGUUGGUGAGGUAACGGCUCACCAAGGCCACGAUGCAUAGCCGACCUGAGAGGGUGAUCGGCCACACUGGGACUGAGACACGGCCCAGACUCCUACGGGAGGCAGCAGUAGGGAAUCUUCGGCAAUGGACGAAAGUCUGACCGAGCAACGCCGCGUGAGUGAAGAAGGUUUUCGGAUCGUAAAACUCUGUUGUUGGAGAAGAACAAGGACGUUAGUAACUGAACGUCCCCUGACGGUAUCUAACCAGAAAGACACGGCUAACUACGUG